rnacentral:rRNA from 1 species
ACUCCUACGGGAGGCAGCAGUGAGGAAUCUUCCACAAUGGGGGCAACCCUGAUGGAGCAACGCCGCGUGCAGGAUGAAGGCCUUCGGGUCGUAAACUGCUUUUAUAAGUGAUGAAUAUGACAGUAGCUUAUGAAUAAGGAUCGGCUAACUACGUGCCAGCAGCCGCGGUCAUACGUAGGAUCCGAGCGUUAUCCGGAGUGACUGGGCGUAAAGAGUUGCGUAGGUGGUUUAAUAAGUGAAUAGUGAAAUCUGGUGGCUCAACCAUUCAGACCGUUAUUCAAACUGUUAAACUCGAGAACAGCAGAGGUAACUGGAAUUUCUUGUGUAGGAGUGAAAUCCGUAGAUAUAAGAAGGAACACCAAUGGCGUAGGCAGGUUACUGGGCUGUUUCUGACACUGAGGCACGAAAGCGUGGGGAGCGAACCGGAUUAGAUACCCUGGUAGUC